UCCGGUUUAUCACCGGCAGUCUCCUUUGAGUUCCCGACCGAAUCGCUGGCAACAAAGGAUAAGGGUUGCGCUCGUUGCGGGACUUAACCCAACAUUUCACAACACGAGCUGACGGCAGCCAUGCAGCACCUGUCUCACAGUUCCCGAAGGCACCAAAGCAUCUCUGCUAAGUUCUGUGGAUGUCAAGGCCAGGUAAGGUUCUUCGCGUUGCAUCGAAUUAAACCACAUGCUCCACCGCUUGUGCAGGCCCCCGUCAAUUUCUUUGAGUUUUAACCUUGCGGCCGUACUCCCCAGGCGGAUAACUUAAUGCGUUAGCUGCGCCACCAAAACCCUAAGGGCCCUGACAGCUAGUUAUCAUCGUUUACGGCGUGGACUAC
rnacentral:misc_RNA from 1 species